GUGAAUCUAGAUCUAGAUCUAUCUAUCUAUCUAUCUAUCUAUCUAUCUAUCUAUCUAUCUAUCUACCUAUAUACACUCUUUAGGUUCCUAGCCAGGGGCUUCUCUACACGUUUGAAUAUCUUUAAUUCAAACUUUUGAAACAUUUGGAAAGUUCCUCCCAGUCAUGGAGCGAGAGUUGGUAAAGCUUAUCCUGUGGAGUUUCUUUGCUGUUCCCACACUGACGGAUGCGGGUAUCUUCUGCCAGCACCUGUUCUCAACGUAGGGGCCGUGACCCCUCUGGAAGUCGAUCGCCUCUUUCACAGGGGUCGUCUAAAAAAAAAAAAAAAACCAUCUGCCUAUCAGCUGUUGCUGAUGAGUGAACUCUAAGGCCAUGACGACGGUGGUUCUUCUGAAUGUCGUCAAAGAGACAGUGGGGCUUCUGAACCAAUGUGUGCUGUGCCUUCUCCAACUCAACGGAAUCCUGGUCCAUUUGAUGGUCACUUACUCUACUCUAGUGGAGCAAUUGCUAUGGUCAACCGAGGUUAAACAGCUCUCGCUUAAAACGGCACAACAGACCGAGAGAUGCGGUGGCUCAUGCCUGUCACCUUGGAUUGUUGGCUGAGAAAGGAUUGCUUCAGCCCAAGUGUUAGAAAUCAAUCUGGGAAACACAGUGAGACCUACUUCCAAAAAUAAACAAAUAAAAACAAAACAACACCCGCCCUCAGUCAAAGUACCAGAGUAGGACCUCAAACCAAGGUGUAUCACACGUCUUUCCACACCGAAUCCCAUUGUGUCAAGGUGGAAUCUUAUUUACGUAGUGGCCCAGACCAAAA